AGGAAUAAGAGAUCCAUGGAAGAAUUGCGUGUCCCAAAAUGAAGGCCUUGGUUAUCACUUGCAUUCUCUUGUUUUCUUUUAUCAUCAUUCCCUCUCCAAUUGUAGCUCGAGAGUUGACUCAUCAUGGCAAAGUUGGUGGUGGCGAACCUGAAGUUUUUUUUGCGACCGAGAUACCAAUAUGUAAGGGCAA